rnacentral:lncRNA from 1 species
CAGGCUUAUCAUUGUGUGUUUCGUUGUCAAAAAAAUUAUCACUCGAAUUAAAAGGUUAAAAGGCAAAAUCAGGCACAAAUUUUAAAAAUAUUUCGGUAAAACACCAACAAACAAAUGGUGUACAUAGCCUGACUUUGUACAGGCCUAACAUAUGCUGGGAGGUCCGUCUACGAACCUUGUUGACACUUGAUAUUAUCUCAAACACUCUCAAAUACUUCAAGAAAAAAAAAUAACCCAACGGCUAUCACGUGUCUGUUUGGAUUAAAACAAACUGUUUUCUGAUGGAUGAAAGAUUAGUACAAUUGACAGAACAGAUAUAUUAUGCAUCUAUAUCUAUACCACUAGACUUUUCAUCUCCAGUGCUAGACUUUAGAUCAUAAGGAGUCGACUGACGAUUUUGACCUUUUUAGUCUUAUUUGUAGAACUUGUCGUGCUUAUCAUUUUUGCUAUUUAAAGUUUCUAUCUAACUAUAAUAGUUUUCAAGAUAAAAGGAAAACAUGACAAACAAAUGGAAACAUUUAUCAUUGUUUUAAGUGCAACAACUCCUAAAGUAAGGCGUCUGAUAGUUUUGAAAAUUGAUAGAGCUUAACAUUUUGAACAGCUCUUGUCAGAUUUUCUCUAUUUAUAACGGUAUUCAAAGUAAUAGUCAAAACUUUUAUUUGACUACCCAUUAGACUAGUUUAGCCAUUUUGGACAUCUUGGUUGACAAGCAGGGUCAUCGGACACUUUUAUUUUUUAAACUAGAUUUCCUAAUGAUGGUUGUGGUUAGUAAAUUUGGCCUAUUUGACCAGGUGAGCUAAAAGGCGGAUUCAGACUUGAUAAUUUCGCGGAAUUUUCACAUGAUCAUUUAACAAAAAAAUAUAAAAAGUUGGAGGGAACAACGAUUUUAAACUUUAUCGAUAACUGCUAAGAAAGAAUGCAAUCUAAUGAUAAUUAUAUAAAUAAAUAUGAAUAAUGAUCUUGUUUUUUGCAAAGUCCUCUUCUAAGUAUAGUUGAAUAAAUUGCUAUGUUAUUGUUCAUAAACCAUCUUUACCAAGAUCAUACACACAUAUACAGGUAAAUUUCACUGCCCUUAAUCCCAGACGGCUUUUAUUACAGGAGCUGUGGUUGUAUUCAUUGUUAUUUUGUUUUUGUCCUGAACAUUCAUGAAACAUUUGCCACCGUACGUUUAGCAAUUAACAAUCAAUCAUUCAAUCAAUCAACAUUGUGUCAUUUCAACGCAAAGUAUAUUGAUUACUUUGAGUUGAAAUGACACAAUUUUGAUUGAUUGAUUGAUUAAAUAUGUAAAACUGAAGUUAAUAAGUAAUUUGGUCAAUAUGUUAAGAAUGUUGGACAUUGAAAUUAUUGCUUCAAAUGGUGUCUAACUGGUAUUAUAUCAGUACGCUCACCUUAUGAAAAUGACAAAACUAGCCAGCUAGACAUUCAUUCUUUAAUGAACUGUUCUAAAAAUGUUACCUUGAUUUCACAACUUUCGACACGAAGCUUUCUUUUAAUGAAUAAAACAUAUUGAUGAUUUAGCUUUAUGAUUAACAGCUAUGUUUUAACUUAUCUUGAAA